rnacentral:lncRNA from 1 species
GGAACCGCCGACGCCGCGCUGGCCCCCACCAGGCUUCUCAGCCCAACUGCUGCCCUCUGCCGGCCCCGCGGCCUAGUUGUGCCUGAGGCCGUGGGCUUCAUCUGCCUUGGGUUGCCUGGAUAUUCCAGGGCACCAUGCUGGAGGUCACUUUAAGACAAGAUGAAGAGCCUUGCUCCUGGGGAGCAUCGGCUGCAGCUGGAAGAGCAGCAAACGAGGCUGGAUACAUCUCAUCUGAAAACUCCUGCACCAGGUAACCUAAGCUACAGAAUGCUGUUUCCUUGUGAAAACAAUUUAUUAGGCCCCGUGGAACCAAUAUCCUGGAGUUGUAGAGGAGAAAAAUAAAUUCUUGCCUCAUAUUUCCUCACCUGAAACAUGGAACGCAACGUUGUAAUUUCGAGGCCUGGGUUUUAUGUGAAGGUCGUCUUUAAGGGAUACAGCCAUAACAAUUUGGGCUGCAUAGCAGACGCUUUUAAGACUAUGCAAGUAUUUAUUAAGAAGUGUGCUUUCUAAAUCAACAAAGGAACUGAGUGGGACCUAAAGAUUCCUCUCCAGGAAGGUACCUUUGUCUCAAUGAUAGCUGGGACAUCGAGCCUCUAUGUUCUGGAAGAGUCUCUGUGUCAGAUGGCCGGCUUAAUGGCCUUCCCAUUUCCAUCACUAACCAUGUUGACAGCCUACCUUUUCCAACUGAUAUGCUGGCAUUGUAAUUUAUCUUCAAAAAAAUAAAUCAC